rnacentral:rRNA from 1 species
AUUGAACGCUGGCGGCAUGCCUUACACAUGCAAGUCGAACGGUAACGGGCCUUCGGGUGCCGACGAGUGGCGGACGGGUGAGUAAUACAUCGGAACGUGCCCGAUCGUGGGGGAUAACGAGGCGAAAGCUUUGCUAAUACCGCAUACGAUCUACGGAUGAAAGCAGGGGACCGCAAGGCCUUGCGCGGACGGAGCGGCCGAUGGCAGAUUAGGUAGUUGGUGGGAUAAAAGCUUACCAAGCCGACGAUCUGUAGCUGGUCUGAGAGGAUGAUCAGCCACACUGGGACUGAGACACGGCCCAGACUCCUACGGGAGGCAGCAGUGGGGAAUUUUGGACAAUGGGCGCAAGCCUGAUCCAGCCAUGCCGCGUGCAGGAUGAAGGCCUUCGGGUCGUAAACUGCUUUUGUACGGAACGAAAAGCCUUCUUUUAAUACAGGAGGGUCAUGACGGUACCGUAAGAAUAAGCACCGGCUAACUACGUG